rnacentral:rRNA from 1 species
ACUCCUACGGGAGGCAGCAGUGGGGAAUAUUGCACAAUGGGGGAAACCCUGAUGCAGCCAUGCCGCGUGUGUGAAGAAGGCCUUCGGGUUGUAAAGCACUUUCAGUAGGGAGGAAGGUAGUGUAGUUAACACCUGCAUUAUUUGACGUUACCUACAGAAGAAGCACCGGCUAACUCCGUGCCAGCAGCCGCGGUAAUACGGAGGGUGCGAGCGUUAAUCGGAAUUACUGGGCGUAAAGCGCAUGCAGGCGGCCUGUUAAGUCAGAUGUGAAAGCCCGGGGCUUAACCUCGGAAUUGCAUUUGAAACUGGCAGGCUAGAGUCUUGUAGAGGGGUUAGAAUUUCAGGUGUAGCGGUGAAAUGCGUAGAGAUCUGAAGGAAUACCAGUGGCGAAGGCGGCCCCGUGGACAAAGACUGACGCUCAGAUGCGAAAGCGUGGGAGCAAACGAGGAUUAGAUACCCCUGGUAGACUGUCA